rnacentral:lncRNA from 1 species
UUUUUUUUAUUUUUAAUAGAGAUGGGGUUUCACCAUAUUGGCCAGGCUGGUCUCAAACUCCUGACCUUAGGUGAUCUGCCCGCCUCGGCCUCCCAAAGUGCCGGGAUUACAGGCGUGAGCCGCCGCGCCCGGCCCCAUCGGGAUCCUUUCUUUUCCAGAAGUCUAUUUUCAAGUUAAUCACUUGUUUGUUUUUAAGUGAGAAGCUACACCUUGAAUGUUUUCACUACAUAAGACCGUGUUUGAAUGUCAACCAGAAUAGUUACGUUUCUCACAGGUUGCAUUUCAUUCCUGAGGACUUCAGUCUCUCUCUCCCUCUCUCGCUGUCUCUCUUGGAUGGCACCUGCCCCGCGUGUGGUCACAGUGAGUACAUGUUCCCGCUCCCCACGCACGCCAAUGCCUUGGGCAACGUGCCACCAACCUCCUAAGUGUCACUUCCCUCCCAAGACUACCAGGUGCUCCAAGGGACCCCCACCUCACUGGGGCCACCUCUCCGGCCUAGUCCAGCACAGCCCAGCCUCAGCUGCCCCCUUCCCCAUCCUGGCUCCCCACUGCUGCGUCCUCCAGCCUCAGCAGAAACGCCUCCUGCCCUGGAAGCCUUCCAGCUCACUGGGACAGGCUGGACCCCAGGGAAAGGUUCUGUGGGCCCUGCUCUUCACCAGUGGCCACUCAGAGCUGCAGCCCCUUCCUCAGCUGUGCAGAGUUUGUUCAUCAUUGGCCUCGUGUGUGGCCUGGGGUCUCCGUUCACCUCUGUGUCCCCAGCAUCCCCACACAGAGGCCUGGUGGAUGAAGGGGGCUGAAUGAAUGAAUGAGUGAAUGGAUGGAUGGAUGAAUGAAUGGAUGGAGCUGGUGCCCCUGCCCUUCCUUGACACCUCCCUGGGCUGGGCGUUCUGCCUGGGCUGACGCCCUAGCACAGAGCUCUCGUUCUUCUCAGAGUGACAGGGACGUUCACUCUAUGAUUCAGUUCGGCACUGAACAGCUGUGGCUCGAGUCAUCACAAUCCAGGUGCCAAUGUCCUAUUUUCCUAAAGCAGCCGUAACUACCAGAGGGCAGAACCUUCCACUGUCCUCCCCUGAAACUCCUUGUUCCUUCUCUGUCUUAUCUGGUCACAUUUGACCUUUGCCCUCCCCAUUGGACAGCAGGGGUCUUGGCCCCAGCCCAGAGGCUGCCCUCAGGCUGCCCAGACCAAGGCUUGACCUCACGCUGGGCACGACCUGAAUCAGUACUUUGAGGCUGAUGGAGGGCGUGCCAGCAUUUCUACACAUUUUUAUGCUCGGCUUCAGGGAAAGUUAUCUCCAAAUAACAGCUGAGGCACCAGUCAUGGGAGAUUGUGGAAACCCAUCCACAGCUUCCCAGAAUAAACUCUCCCAGGGUCUCACCACAGAGCGAGUGCCCAUGGUGGCUUUCGAGAGGCGUUCAGGUCCUCAAGCCUGCAUUCUGGCUGUGAUCAUGAUUUCUAAAACUAAAUUAUUGUCCAUGUCUAUGGAAUGGAUUCUGUAAAGAGGAGGAAAGAAAAGAGAGAGGCAAAGGCAUUUUCUUCAUAGAGGAAAAGGCCUACACAGAGGUUGGAAGGAGCGAUAGGGCUCCAGGUUCCCAUCUCCAUCCACGGUGUUGAGGACAUGGCCGUGCGGGGGUUGGUUGUGCUCUGCAGCUGGCAGAGGCAGCCCUGGUCAACUUGGGCAGGAAGUGGGCAGCCCAACCUCAGGGGCACUCCAUCAGCCCUGACCCUUCUGCAGAAGCGGAGAUUCCCUUUGCUUGGAGGUUGACAUCCUAGAAGCAGGGCUAAUAAAAGUGACUGCAUCAGAGAACAGAGGCCACACUGAGAGACUGGAGGGCACGCAGCUUUUGCAGGCUAAAGGGGACACAGGGUCAACGGGGCUCAACUUGCCCCAGAGCCAAAGGCCAGGGCCACACUGGCCUCCUGACCUCAGCUGGGAAGAGCAAGCCUUUCUAGAAGAAGAGCUCCAUGCACGUGAGCAUCUAAGUGACUCUUCCUUUUUAUUUCAUGGCAUCGAGAUCGGAACAGUAACAGUGAGAAAUGAAUUCCCAUUGAAGGCCUCCUGCUCGGCAAAGCUCUGCGGAAGGCUGGCGUGGGUUUAUGCACUCCCGCAGAAUUGCUGUUACCCACAAAGACUCUGGGGUUUAUAACUGUAUUUACCUAUUGAAGCCGAAUAACUAUGUAUGGGGUGCUCCUUUUGGAGAUGGGUUAUUCUGGGAGCCCAACGAAACUGAUGGACUUACCCACGCACUCAGGGAAGAAAGAGAACUUGAACACAGCCGCAGCCAGGCAGAGGAAGGUGGGGCAGUCAAGGGUAGGAACGUGAACCUCGAACCCAGCUCAUCCCACCAUGACUUUGGACUUCUGGCUGCCAGACCGAGACAACAAAUGUCUGCUGCUAUAAGCCACCCAAUUCGUGGAAUUUUUGUUUGUUUGUUUGUUUUGAGCUGGAGUCUCCCUCUGUCGCCCAGGCUGGAGUGCAGUGGCGUGAUCUCAGCUCACUGCAAGUUCCACCUCCUGGGUUCACGCCAUUCUCCUGCCUCAGCCUCCCGAGUAACUGGGACUACAGGUGCCCGCCACCAUGCCCGAUAAUUUUUUAUAUUUUUAGUAGAGAUGGGGUUUCACCGUGUUUGCCAGGAUGGUCUGGAUCUCCUGACUUCGUGAUCCACCUGCCUCAGCCUCCCAAAGUGCUGGGAUUACAGGAGUGAGCCACUGCGCCCGGCCCAACUCAUAGUAAUUUGUGAUGACCACACCAGGAACCUAACACAGUUGUGGUUAUUUGCUAAGGAGUUGCUUAGUGGAGAAGACGCUAAUGGCUUCAAGGAGGAAGUGAGGAUGAGGCCACAUCAUUUUGUCAGCAACACAGAGGUUGGAAGGAGGGAUAGGGCUCCAGGUUCCCAUCUCCAUCCACGGUGUUGAGGACAUGGCCGUGCGGGGGUUGGUUGUGCUCUGCAGCUGGCAGAGGCAGCCCUGGUCAACUUGGGCAGGCAGCUGUCUCGUGCCUGGCAUGUGCCAGAUACCUGGGCAAAACCUUCAAGGAAAAGAAACCUCUCUGCCCUCAAGCCUGCAGUUUGGAUUUACCUGCAGAAAACAGGAGGUGAUCCCUAAAGGAAGGGGUCCUUUCAAAUUUGGGGUGCAUUUGAUGGCCACCCAGGUCCCUCUGUCCUCUGACACUUCCUGCCAUCCCCAAUCCUGACAAUGGGCUACAAUGACCUUGCAGAGCCCAGCCCCGCAGCCUCUGGAUGACCAGAUGGCACCUGACCCCACCAAGGAGGCAGAGGGGAGGCCCCCACGGUGCACCCUAACAUGGCGCCAAGGAGCCUUUUCUGUGGAGCUUGCCUCUCCUUCGCCUGGGGUGGGGUCUUGGUCUCGGGCCCCGGCAAUGAGCUCCUCCAGCAGCAGCUGGAAAACAAGACACUGUGCUGGGCGAUCUGUCGAUGCCAUUGGAUGGGACUAUGGCUGCCGCCAGGCUCCAACAAAUUGUGAAAUACAGAUUGUUAGCAGCUUGC